AUCUAUAUCCAUACCACCCUGAAUGCUCCCAUACAGUCUCAGAAGCUAAGCAGGGUUUCAUCUGAUUAGAACAUGGAUAGGAGAAUGCAUUGCUACUCUGAAAGAGUUC
ensembl:rRNA 5S_rRNA 5S ribosomal RNA